AACGAACGCUGGCGGCAGGCCUAACACAUGCAAGUCGAGCGCGCCCUUCGGGGUGAGCGGCGGACGGGUGAGUAACGCGUGGGAACGUGCCCUUUUCUACGGAAUAGCCUCGGGAAACUGAGAGUAAUACCGUAUACGCCCUUUGGGGGAAAGAUUUAUCGGAAAAGGAUCGGCCCGCGUUGGAUUAGGUAGUUGGUGGGGUAAUGGCCUACCAAGCCGACGAUCCAUAGCUGGUUUGAGAGGAUGAUCAGCCACACUGGGACUGAGACACGGCCCAGACUCCUGCGGGAGGCAGCAAUGGGGAAUCUUAGACAAUGGGGGCAAGCCUGAUCUAGCCAUGCCGCGUGAGUGAUGAAGGCCUUAGGGUUGUAAAGCUCUUUCAGCCGGGAAGAUAAUGACGGUACCAGCAGAAGAAGCCCCGGCUAACUCCGUG
rnacentral:rRNA from 1 species